rnacentral:tRNA from 1 species
GCUGAUGUAGCUCAGUUGGUAGAGCAGUUGAUUUGUAAUCAACCGGUCGCGGGUUCGAGUCCCAUCAUCAGCUCCA